rnacentral:rRNA from 1 species
CCUACGGGGGGCAGCAGUCGGGAAUAUUGCGCAAUGGAGGAAACUCUGACGCAGUGACGCCGCGUAUAGGAAGAAGGUUUUCGGAUUGUAAACUAUUGUCGUUAGGGAAGAUAAAAGACUGUACCUAAGGAGGAAGCCCCGGCUAACUAUGUGCCAGCAGCCGCGGUAAUACAUAGGGGGCAAGCGUUAUCCGGAAUUACUGGGUGUAAAGGGAGUGUAGGCGGGAAGGCAAGUCAGAAGUGAAAAUUAUGGGCUCAACCCAUAACCUGCUUUUGAAACUGUUUUUCUUGAGUGAAGCAGAGGCA